UGUUUGGAUCUAUUUAUGGUUUUAAAAGGUUUGAUCAGAUGACAUACUAUAAUGAAAAGAUAUCAGAGACGACUAUACACAUAAUAAACAUUAUAACAAAAAUUUAUCCAGUAACAAACAGCAGGGCUUUAUCGAGAUAAAGGCAACAACAGAAAGUUUGCAUCUGGAUCGACAUCUAAGACCAAAAUUACACAAGAAUCUUUUCCCAGACACAAAUUUCCUAAUGUAGCACAGUGAAUAAGGUUUAGAGAAGAUAUGUAGAGAGAGAGAGACGUAGAGAGAUUCCCCUCUGCAGUCACAUGGAUUGAGAAAACAAUCAUAACUACUGGGUUUUAAAAUAGCUUCAAUCAAUGGGAGGAUCUUAGCAAGUCUUCUUAAAAAUGAAGAAUCACCCCCAUGCACUAUGUGGUGAUUAAUUAACAUAAUUUCUAGGAUACCUAAUUACAAAAAGAAUAACAAAAUAAGAUUACUACUAAAUAAGAAAUAAUAAACGUAUAACAAUAAUAAUAAUAAGAUUAUAAUUAAUAGUAACUAAUAAGCUAAAUAUUCUUAAUAAUAUAUAACAGAUUAUAAUUGUAUAAAUAUAUCUAGAUCUUGAAAUACUUCCAUUACAGAACCUUCUUAUUCUACAUAAUUAAGCCGAGUUUCGCCUUCCCCGUUAGGCAGUCUUCACCCUGAUAUGAUUGCCCUAUUUUCAACUAUAUACAAAAUAAUGUCACGAACCCGAUACAUAAUUCAGAUCUGAAGGAAAUAAGAAGAAAAAGGAAGAAAGCUGAGAGAGAGAGAGAGAGAAACUGAGAAUCGGUGAGAAGUAAAAGAAAGAUUAUAUUCAAAUUUUAGUAAUUUUCCAUACUCUAUUCCUUGAGUACAUGCUUAAAUAUAGGAUAUAAAGUAGAAAUUUGUAACCGUCGGAUAUGAUGAUCCCGGAUCUUUCUCUCCUAAUUUAUUAUGAUUAAAAAAAAAAAACAAAACUAUCCUCAUAUAAACUUGCCCUUUUUACCGUUACAUGUUAUUUUUCUAUUUUUCUAAUUUACUCAUAGUCCCUCACAAAUACUUUCACUUUUUUCCCAUGCCAAUAUCUCUAGAUAAUGUAUAAUGUCCUAUCCUGAAAACUGAGGAGCACUUAAUUGCCAAAUUCAUUAUCACCUUAAAAAGAUGUGAUAAUUCACAUUCAUCUAUGAAACACUCAGUUGCACCAAUGAAAGUCCAAGCGUUUCCCUGGAUAUUGUUCAUAUAAACAGCAAGACUCAAAAAAACUCAAGUAAAUUAUGCAGGCAAGAUAACUGCAGGGAAUCCAAUUUUACAGCAAUAGUGAAGCAAGCAUGAAGCUGCAGUUAUGUAAGACAACCAAUGUAGAAUGAGUGAUUUUUUGAAUGAUUUCCCCAAUAAGUUCUUGGAUGGCAUAUGACAAUUUAAUAAGCUAAAGCACCAAACUAUAGUCUGUCUUACUAUUGUUUGAGGCUUACAAAUAUUCAGUGGUUUUUG
rnacentral:lncRNA from 1 species